rnacentral:rRNA from 1 species
UGGGGGAAUCUUCCGCAAUGGGCGAAAGCCUGACGGAGCAACGCCGCGUGAGUGAAGAAGGUCUUCGGAUCGUAAAGCUCUGUUGAGAGGGACGAGAGAUUACUUCAGGAAAUGGGAGUAAGAGGACGGUACCUUUCGAGGAAGCCACGGCUAACUACGUGCCAGCAGCCGCGGUAAUACGGAAGGUCCGGGCGUUAUCCGGAUUUAUUGGGUUUAAAGGGAGCGUAGGCCGUCUUAUAAGCGUGUUGUGAAAUGUCGGGGCUCAACCUGGGCAUUGCAGCGCGAACUGUGAGACUUGAGUGCGCAGGAAGUAGGCGGAAUUCGUCGUGUAGCGGUGAAAUGCUUAGAUAUGACGAAGAACUCCGAUUGCGAAGGCAGCCUGCUGUAGCGCAACUGACGCUGAAGCUCGAAAGCGUGGGUAUCGAACAGGAUUAGAUACCCUGGUAGU